CCAAUAGCGUAUAUUAAAGUUGUUGCAGUUAAAAAGCUCGUAGUUGAAUUUCGGGAUUAGUACGUUGGUCGUGCCUUAGGUACGUACUGGUGUUACUGAUUCCUACCUUCUGACGAACCAUCAUGUCAUUAAUUUGGUGUGGUGGGGAAUCAGGACUGUUACUUUGAAAAAAUUAGAGUGUUUAAAGCAGGCUCGCGCUUGAAUACAUUAGCAUGGAAUAAUGAAAUAGGACGUUGACCCUAUUUUGUUGGUUUCUAGGAUUGACGUAAUGAUUAAUAGGGAUAGUUGGGGGCAUUAGUAUUCAAUUGUCAGAGGUGAAAUUCUUGGAUUUAUUGAAGACUAACUACUGCGAAAGCAUUUGCCAAGGAUGUUUUCAUUAAUCAAGAACGAAAGUUAGGGGAUCGAAGACGAUCAGAUACCGUCGUAGUCUUAACCAUAAACUAUGCCGACUAGGGAUCGGAUGAUGUUAUUUUUAAUGACUCAUUCGGCGCCUUACG
rnacentral:rRNA from 1 species